rnacentral:pre_miRNA from 1 species
UUAACUCAAAUUUGUAUGGAUUUGGAAAAGUUUCCCUUCGUUUGCCCCUAGGGGCGCUGUUCGAACUAUAUACAAAUUUGAGUUA